CGACACGCGGGCUGUAGUGUUUUCGACAGUGCGUUUCUGCUCCAAGUCAGGACAAUCAAACUCGCAGUCCGUGGGCCACAAGCGGGCCAUCAAACCCUCCGACGUGGCCCGGUUUUUCAAAAAAUUAAAAUUUUAUGCUGUAAGCUGUGUGCUGUCCAGUGGAGGGCCGAUGUGGCCGCCUGAACUUGGCGCACUCGCAAUGGCCUAAAGGCCCGAAAGAGGCCGACUCGCUAGCAGAUGUUGCCGGGUCGCCUCACGGGAGACCAGAGACCGCCUGCAGAAAGAUUUACUGUGCGGCUGUUAGCGUGCGGGCACUUUGCAUGCGUGCAGAGUCUUGCCGUGAUUGCUUCGGCGACCUGCGGGGGCAGCUGCUGCGCGUGGAGCUGGACAAGGAAGCGGGCAGCGUUCUGGGGCUCAGCCUCACCGGGAACCGAGACCGCGCCACUCUCAGCGUCUUUGUGGUGGGACUCCGCCCGGGUAGGGUGGCCGCCACCCACGGCUGCGUGUGCGUAGGCCACCAGCUGCUCCAGGUGACACGCUUUGGUCAGGUGAUGCGUACUUUUAGUCUCUGAGCUUUUUGAUCUCAGACGGAAGUGGCAGAGGUUGCAUCAUGCUGUCAUCAAAGUAAGGAUUCCUCCCAAAUGUGUCAGCAGGUCAACGAUCACGUUCUUUAUGGGUGAAGCCAUCAGAGCGCCUCGGCCCACAUCAAGAGCUCCGCUUCCAAAGUCAAGCUGGUUCUGCUCAGAAGCCGAGACGGCGUCCAGCAGAUGGCAGUCCCGCCCUUCCCGCCAACCCCCAAGGUAAAACCAUCGCCACCCAACGGAACGUGGCGACAGCAACCGCUACGCUUAAGUGUCGUUUCCAUCAGAGCAUCUCGCCAACGUCUUCAGGAGACUCCCUGGGCCCUGCGGAAUGGCUGCACCCCCUGACUCACUCCGCCUGCCUUAGGAAGAAGACAAUAUCAGAGACGGUCAUUUUGGAGUUGAAGGCGUUUCAAUUUGGGGGCUGUCUGACGCAAUGAGAUGCAACUUAGCUCCUCUCACAUUGCCCACAUU